rnacentral:lncRNA from 1 species
UUUUUUUUUUUUUUUUUUUCCUCAGUUGGGAAUGUGAUACCUAGUGGGGUCUUAGGGUACAUUUAGAAACAUAUUUUUGGAUAAACAGAUAUAAGCAGUUAUAAGCAGAUAACAGAUUCUUCACUUGUGCCUAAAUAGAAUACAGACAGUUCAAAAUAACUAGCUGGUCAGCACAUUUGGAAAGACGUGUUAUGUUCCCUAGAAAGUUCCUGCUCUGUGGUCAGCAGGUCAGUUAAACAGUGAGUGCAUUGAGAAUGGGUGGACAUUGGAUUGAGAGGGCAGGAAAGGCUAUGAGGAUAGCUUUCCUAAGCAAGGGUUUGCUGUUCUUCAUUAGAGCCAGCAGCACUCAUGGCUCCAGUAGCUGUCAUGACUGUUCUCUCAGCUUUGCUGAGCAGCCUGCCCUUCAGAAGUGUCCUUCUUCUUAAAGAACCUGUUUUAGUCUACAGCUGAGGAAUAUGAAAAUCCUCACACCAAGACAUUGCUUAAAGUAUUUCAUUCCUUUCUUGUUUGCCUGUCAUUCAAUUUAAAAUGUUUUAGAACGUCUCUGAGGCCCAUGGACACAGUAUUGUGAUAUAUUUACUCUGCAUCUGGUGACUGUAACUAAUGAAGAACUUGAGAGAUGGUCUUUGAAGACUGGAGUAGAAUAGUAUGUUGUUGUGUGAUCAGCCAUGUCAAGUAUGGUAAUACAUAACUGUUUCCUUCCUUCCCGCACCUUCUGCCUCUGCCUCCUGACACUCCUCAUGGCUGCUUUCCUUUACCGACUCUAAUGUCUGCUCCUCAGCCCUCACUUCUGCUUUACGUUGCUUCCUGCCUUUAAGUAGAGCUCCUCUCUCUUGUCUAGUUAUCAGUUUACAUUUUAAUGUUUUAUCUAUUUCUACACAAACAAUUCAUCAACAUAUUAAAAUAUAGUACUUAUUUAUCCUGUUUCUCCCCCUCCCCCCAAAGUAAAUCAAUCACCAGGGGAAAGUAUCUGCUCAGAAAUGUUUGGUAAAGGGAGGAAUGUAUACAUGAGGGCAUAUGCAUGCCACGUACAUACAUACAUACAUGCAUACAUACACACACACACACACACACACAUACUGCACACACAUACACAGAGAACAAAAAUCAUUGGGAAAAAUGAUUUACUUAAUUGAUGAUUUUGGAAAAAUUGGUUAGCUAUUUAGAGAAAAAAAUCUAUAGCUCCUGUGCAUAAGACAAAUGUUGUGUAUUUAUAUCUCUAUAUCUAUAAUAUAUCACAUAUAAUGUAUACUUACAAGUUAAUAUAUAUUAUUUCAAAUAACAAAUAAAUAUAUAUUUACAAGUUAAGUGUAAAAAUUAAACCACAAAUAUACAGCAGAAUACUCACUUGCUGUUGGGAUAGGAACAUUUUUUAUGAGAGUAUGAAGAGACUUUUGUAAGGCAAAAUGAUAUUGUUUUGUAUGUUUUAGUCAUCCAACAAGUAUUUAUUGGCCCACUGAUUCUUUUAGGAGGCUGUCAUAGAAAAAC